rnacentral:lncRNA from 1 species
GAAGUUACCUGGUGAGGACCCAAGUCCAGUCUUCCAACUGGCUUUAACUCCAGCUCGAGGGGAUCCAAUGAUCCUGGCUUCCCUAGCACUGCCACCCAUGAGCAAGUACCCACACAACAAACAGCAAUGAGGCCAUGCACGGACUAAAACUUCAGAAGUCACAAGACAAAAAUAAGCAUGGCUGAAACUCUGGGUUUAAUUUACAGUGGUAGCUGGACUGGAACUUCCUGUGUGGCCCCAAACCCACAGAGUUCCAUCUGUCUCUGCCUCCUGUUUGCUGGCAUCAAAGGCGUGGACCACAUUGCCCUGCAUCACCUGAAUCUUGUUUACAAAAGAAUUGUAAAAUUUCAGCAGAGGACCUGAGUUUGACUUCCACUGCUCCUGCCAAGGACGGAUUAUAGUUGCUUGUAAUUCCAGUUUCAGGAAACUGUACAGCCUCUUCUGGCCCUUCCGGACACCUUCAUCCUAUGGAUAUGCUCCAGCUGUGUGCACAUUCUACCCCUCCCCCACACGCCCCUGAGCUGCAGAGACGACUCGGCAUUUAAGAGGUGCUCUUCCAGAGGAUUUGGGUUCGAUUCCCUGCUCCCACAGGGUGACACACAAUCAUCUAUUACUCCAG